rnacentral:misc_RNA from 1 species
UUUAUUUUAUUUUAUUUUUUUUUAACUUGAAGUUUGGGUAUUGACUCUAGGGUUUUUGUUUCCUUGAGAGGGCUUUUUCUCUGAUUUUGCCAUUUGAAUUGAUUGGUUAGUGAUGAUUUGAUUGGAUGCGAUUGGAAUUUUAUGGUUUUAUUUUCUUCGAUGGAAUACUAAUUUUGAAGUGAAUCCUUACUGUUACAAUGAAAGAUCCAUUGCUUUUAGUUUUAUGUGGUAUAGCAAUUGUUUGUUCUCUUUAAUUUAGCUGAAAUUUAUCUAUGAAACUUGUUAUACUAAUGGAAAAUUCGUUAUCUGCACUUACAUAAAAAGGUUCUAUACCUCAAGCCAUUCUCGAAUCCAAGAAGCAAAAGAAGCUUUUUGUUGUCUACAUUUCUGGUUCGGAUCAAAACUCAGUUGAAUUGGAAAAAUCCACAUGGACUGAUUCAAAAGUACAGAUAUAUAUUUUCUGUUUUUCUAAUCUGAACUCAUUUUUUCUGAAUGCCCAUAUAUAUGUGUGCCCUUAAUGCCUAGUUAUUAUUUUGUGUACUGCAAUCAGGUGGCAGAGUCACUGUCAAAGUAUUGCAUUUUCUUGCAUAUCCCAGAAGCAAGCACUGACGUCUCAAAUUUUUCUGCAAUAUGUAUCCUCUGUUGAAUUGUUCAUACUUUUUCAAAGCCUAGUCAUUCUUAAUUUGAUCAUAAUAUGUUAUAUGGUGAUCUAAGAUUGAGCUGUGGCAAUAAUAGGUAACUUGCCCGAUUGUCUUGAUACUACAUUGUGUUGUACUUCUUUGUGCUAUUCCUAAUAUUGUGUGAAGUAUGCUCAAGUUAAAUGAGUAAUUUGACUUAGUAAUUAUGGACAAGACAUCACUAAUGGAAGAGAGGAUAUAGGCUAGGGCAACAGAGGUAUGAGAUUUGAGAAAACUCUUUAAAAUGCCUUUUAAAGCACCAAGUUCAAAUUCAUUUUAUCCUUGUUACCAUUUUCAGAGGUAAUUAGGGUGUAAAUGAACCUAGCCAAGCCGAAUUUUAAGAGCUCAGGAUUGGUUUGUCAAAAUUUUUUCGAACUCGAGCCGAACUCAUGCUGAGGUCAAGCCACAUAUCAAUAAACUCAAAUUUAGUUUGUUUAGAAAACGAGCCGAGCUAAGAUGAGCUUUUAUCGAAUCAAGUUUCGACCAGCUUGCAAGUAGCUCAACUUAUUUACAGCCCUAAUGAGUUAUAGGUUUAGGAUUAUGAAGUUCCGAGUACGUAAUUUAGAUUAGAUGACAUUAAAUUUAAAUUACAAAUAACUAUAUUUUAUAUAACUUAAUUACAUCAUAAUUUUGAAUAAUAGUUAUUAAUACAUUAUUUUAUAGAAUAAUCAUAAACAAAAUCAAUAUAUUUGUAACAUAAUGAAAUGUAAUAAUUAAUAUAAAUGAAUUACGAGCUUGUUUAAUAAUUCAGCUUGCGAUCGUAUAUAAUGAGUUAACUCGUGAGCCUUAAUGAGCCGAGUGUUGGUGAGCUUGAAUUGAGUUCAUUUAUUUAAUUGGGCCUAAAAAUUAAACUUGUCGAGUCGAGUUUUUAUCAAGCUAAGCUCAUGAGCGGCUCAGCUCAUUUACAAUCGUAGUGUUAUCCCUUUUUGUCUUCUUAGAAGGAUGUGUAUUUGAUAUCUUUCCUUUGAUUUUCCAGAUCUUUUUUUUUAGAUGAUUUUUUUU